rnacentral:rRNA from 1 species
UUAGCCUACGGGAGGCAGCAGGGGGGAAUAUUGCACAAUGGGGGAAACCCUGAUGCAGCGACGCCGCGUGAGUGAAGAAGUAUUUCGGUAUGUAAAGCUCUGUCAGCAGGGAAGAAAAUGACGGUACCUGACCAAGAAGCCCCGGCUAACUACGUGCCAGCAGCCGCGGUAAUACGUAGGGGGCAAGCGUUAUCCGGAUUUACUGGGUGUAAAGGGAGCGGAGACGGCAGGGCAAGUCUGGAGUGAAAGGCGGGGGCUCAACCCCCGGACUGCUCGGGGAACUGCCAGGCUG